CAGUAGCCGCGGUAACACGUAGGGUGCGAGCGUUAAUCGGAAUUACUGGGCGUAAAGCGUGCGCAGGCGGUUGUGUAAGACAGGUGUGAAAUCCCCGGGCUUAACCUGGGAACUGCGCUUGUGACUGCACAGCUAGAGUAUGGCAGAGGGGGGUGGAAUUCCACGUGUAGCAGUGAAAUGCGUAGAGAUGUGGAGGAACACCGAUGGCGAAGGCAGCCCCCUGGGCCAAUACUGACGCUGAUGCACGAAAGCUAGGGGAGCAAACAGGAUUAGAUACCCCUGUAGUCCCUGUCUCUUAUAC
rnacentral:rRNA from 1 species